rnacentral:rRNA from 1 species
GACGAACGCUGGCGGCGUGCCUAAUACAUGCAAGUUGAGCGAUGAAGAUUGGUGCUUGCACCAAUUUGAAGAGCAGCGAACGGGUGAGUAACGCGUGGGGAAUCUGCCUUUGAGCGGGGGACAACAUUUGGAAACGAAUGCUAAUACCGCAUAACAACUUUAAACAUAAGUUUUAAGUUUGAAAGAUGCAAUUGCAUCACUCAAAGAUGAUCCCGCGUUGUAUUAGCUAGUUGGUGAGGUAAAGGCUCACCAAGGCGAUGAUACAUAGCCGACCUGAGAGGGUGAUCUGCCACAUUGGGACUGAGACACGGCCCAAACUCCUACGGGAGGCAGCAGUAGGGAAUCUUCGGCAAUGGACGAAAGUCUGACCGAGCAACGCCGCGUGAGUGAAGAAGGUUUUCGGAUCGUAAAACUCUGUUGGUAGAGAAGAACGUUGGUGAGAGUGGAAAGCUCAUCAAGUGACGGUAACUACCCAGAAAGGGACGGCUAACUACGUG